CGAACGGGUGAGUAACACGUGGGCAACCUGCCCAAAAGAGGGGGAUAACACUUGGAAACAGGUGCUAAUACCGCAUAACCAUAGUUACCGCAUGGUAACUAUGUAAAAGGUGGCUAUGCUACCGCUUUUGGAUGGGCCCGCGGCGCAUUAGCUAGUUGGUGGGGUAAAGGCUUACCAAGGCAAUGAUGCGUAGCCGAACUGAGAGGUUGAUCGGCCACAUUGGGACUGAGACACGGCCCAAACUCCUACGGGAGGCAGCAGUAGGGAAUCUUCCACAAUGGGCGAAAGCCUGAUGGAGCAACGCCGCGUGGGUGAAGAAGGUCUUCGGAUCGUAAAACCCUGUUGUUAGAGAAGAAAGUGCGUGAGAGUAACUGUUCACGUUUUGACGGUAUCUAACCAGAAAGCCGCGGCUAACUACGUGCCAGCAGCCGCGGUAAUACGUAGGUGGCAAGCGUUAUCCGGAUUUAUUGGGCGUAAAGGGAACGCAGGCGGUCUUUUAAGUCUGAUGUGAAAGCCUUCGGCUUAACCGGAGUAGUGCAUUGGAAACUGGGAGACUUGAGUGCAGAAGAGGAGAGUGGAACUCCAUGUGUAGCGGUGAAAUGCGUAGAUAUAUGGAAGAACACCAGUGGCGAAAGCGGCUCUCUGGUCUGUAACUGACGCUGAGGUUCGAAAGCGUGGGUAGCAAACAGGAUUAGAUACCCUGGUAGUCCACGCCGUAAACGAUGAAUGCUAAGUGUUGGAGGGUUUCCGCCCUUCAGUGCUGCAGCUAACGCAAUAAGCAUUCCGCCUGGGGAGUACGACCGC
rnacentral:rRNA from 1 species